AUAUUUUCUUUCCGCUUAGAGGCGUCCACCGUAUUAUAAAUAUUUUCCAAUAUUUAUUUCGGAAUAACACUGCACCGACAUUCAAUUUUGCUUUGGUCUAUUUUAUUUCUUCAUUUUCUCUAAAAGUCAUCAUGUACUUUGUAACAGAUGUAAUGAUCUUAUUACCUUUCUUUAUUCUGAGGAAAAGCAUGAAAAAUCAGAUGGGGAAAAUCAUUUUCGUCCUAUUGCAAACCACACACGGGUGAUGAUGGCUACGCCCACUCAUGAUUGAAAUUGAAUGCCCGCUUUGUGAAAAAGUAAACAAACAGACGAUGUAGGCAGGUGAAAUGCUACCGCCAUCUUCAUUUCAUGCCAGGUACUAAAUUGUAUGCGGCCGAUGCGGCUGUGGCUUGAGCUUCCCAUCUUUCGUGUAUUGUCUUUGAUUACAAGGGAUGUUCAACACCAAUGACCUAUCGCAGCGUUAGUGAACUGACCUCGUUGGGGAUAUUCAACACCAGUGACCCAUCACAGUGUUAGUGAAGUGACCUCUUUUGACACCGAUGAAGAGUGGGGUAUCAAGACGAGACUGCUGGUGGCCUUCGUUUCAACGCAGGAGAAUGAGAGUAACAGAAGAUGCUAGCGGAGUCCAGCAAAGGCAGCGUGCAGCCGAACUUGUGAUCGCAUUUCCCUUUUGAAAAGAAGAAGAAGAGCGACGAACCAAUAAGGGAGAGCGAGAGGAGGACUUGGGGGAUAUAAACACCGGGCCAUCCUACCAACCCUUCCCAUCCCCUGAUCCCCCCCCCCCCCCC